AGCAGCCGCGGUAAUUCCAGCUCCAAUAGCGUAUAUUAAAGUUGUUGCAGUUAAAAAGCUCGUAGUUGAAUUUCGGGAUUUGUCAAUUGGUCGGGCUUCACUGUCCGUACUGGUUUGAUGGAUUCCUACCUUCUGAAUAACCAGCAUGCUAUUAAGUUAGUGCGUUGGGGAAGCAGAUCUAUUACCUUGAAAAAAUUAGAGUGCUUAAAGCGGGCUAGUGCUUGAAUAGAUUAGCAUGGAAUAAUAAAAUAGGACGGCAUGGUUCUAUUUUGUUGGUUUCUAGGAUCACCGUAAUGAUUAAUAGGGAUAGUUGGGGGCAUUAGUAUUCAAUUGUCAGAGGUGAAAUUCUUGGAUUUAUUGAAGACUAACUUCUGCGAAAGCAUUUGCCAAGGAUGUUUUCAUUAAUCAAGAACGAAAGUUAGGGGAUCGAAGACGAUCAGAUACCGUCGUAGUCUUAACCAUA
rnacentral:rRNA from 1 species